ACCAUCCGGCGCUGGACACAACUCUGGGCCCAGACAGCUCUGCAUGGGUGGGGAGUCCUUAGAAAAGGGAUUGCAUAGAAGAUACAGCAACAGGGAAAUCCACAACCACAAAAGAAGUGUGUUCCGUGUCGGAAAAGCCACGUUUCUUUUUUAAAAAAACCCAAAAAACAAAAAUAGGCAAACCCUGUAAAUAACUUUUGCCGUUCAGCUGGGCCGCCACCCCUCUCCCCAAGCUGGGGCCACCUGGUUCUCACUGGCACCUCUGACCUUUGCUGGAGGCUGCAAGAGGUUCUGGGUCCAGGGCAAGUGGGAAGCAUUACGGUUCCAAUGUCCACUUAGUAAACGCCCUUGCUUUCUCACAGAGCCCACACUCCUGCCGUACCCCCGGAGAUCCCACGAGUGAGUCAGUUAAGCGCCCACUUUUGGGAGUGAGUUUGGAACGGAAGAGGGAUUUUCCCAGGAUUCUGUCUGCUGCCGGAGCCUGUCAUGGAGAACAUCUACAGCCAACCCAGAGAUGCAUCCUUCUCAACAUCAUGGCGUCGCAAAUGGGGUUAAGCCAGGCCCAUUUGGCACCCAUACCAGAUGUAGAAUGUCAUCCCUGAGACCCGAGAGACACCUGACAAGGAGAAAAAGCCUAUCAUGGCAUGUUCCAACCUGCUCCUUGAAGAAGCCCCUCACCUCAGCAAACCACCAUAUUGAGUACCGGGGACUCCGGCAGUGAGCGGAUGGGCCCCUCCGUUAGCCAGAGGAAAAUGUAAGGCAGCACACCACACAGUGAAGCACAAACAAAGAAGUGGAAACCGAACCAAGAAAUCACCUUGGGGAAACUAGUUGAGUGGCACCAAUGAGUUCUGAAGUAUCACACCAAACUGAAGGCCUAUGAAGUUAUUCAUUAAUUCACUUUAGAACCUCUCUGAACGGCUGUUGAACUUUGACCUGCCCCAUCUGGAUACCUCACCGAGUACCUCAGGAAUCAUCUGGGAACCCUGAUCAAGGUCUGGUGGCCAAAAAAGAUUCUCUAAACAGCACGAUCCCAGAAUGCAGUCAGCUUACCAGCAUCGAGGCAAUGUCCAUCCCAACAGAGCUUGGCUGGGAGGGGCAUGGAGAAGCAGAGAGGUCAGCAAGAGACCCAAGUCAUGACUGUCUGAACUGUAUAGGGCACAGAGAAGCAGGCAGGGCAGGAAAAGUGUUUCAAGGAGAGAGACCUCCACAGACGAGAUGGAUGGCGCGACAGCAGACAAGACUUGGGAGGCUGGAGCUGUGGAUUCAGGAAGCUCACGAGGCAGGUGACUAACUGCAUCAGCACAGCCAAGGCCGAUCUUUACAUUCACCCAGCAUGGAACAGAUUGCCAUUCAUGCUGAUUUUUUUUUCCACAGGCCCCAAACGCAGCGAUCUUUAGCAAAGAUAGACUGUCCUGCCAGACACAUGCACCCUAUCUGUCUGCAAAGACUGGUAUUCCCCUGAAAGCAAGGUAAAGGUUACUAUAAAAACAAUGCUGAUUUGGGCGCUCAGUUCUACAUGUAGCAUGAUAUUAUUAGAACAAGAGAAUGGAGAAACUUCACCACGUUCAUCAGAGACCAUUUCCUUCAGUCACCUACCAUGUCUCGGACCCAGGCUGACAGCGUCGUCUAGUGUAGGAGAAUGACUGUGGAGCAGAGAAGGAUUUAGACUGCAUCUCAGUCAAAUGCUGGGCUUAGCUAACUGAAUUCCUGAUCUCGGGAGGGAGGGCCUAGGAAAACAAACAUACAAAAAGGAGCCACCAUUCUGCCGCUCUUUAGAGCCCCUACGCGGGAGUUCUGAUCACCACCACUUAGGGAAGACAUAAUGGAGUCGGAAAAUGUACAGAAGAGAGACCAGAAUGGUCAGAGAUGAAGCAGUGAUGAUAGAUUACAUCUGUCUGGAACGACACAGGCUGAGAGGGGGUGGGAUUCAAGUGGACGAAAUCAUGACAGGGAAACACUGAAAGGCAGCACGAACUCCCACACCAUCAAAGGGGCACGAGUCGAAGGAGGAAAGUACACCAGAUAGGACGCAUACAACAUCUCAUCGCCCCAGAAAGAGCCCCAUGCACCGCGGUGGCCGACGUUGAAUGGCGGAGGUCGAUGAUCCAAGCGGCUCUCCGAGCAGGAUUCGCAGCGGAAGGGCUCAC